CAGCCGCCGCGGUAAUACGGAGGGAGCUAGCGUUGUUCGGAAUUACUGGGCGUAAAGCGCGCGUAGGCGGUUACUCAAGUCAGAGGUGAAAGCCCGGGGCUCAACCCCGGAACUGCCUUUGAAACUAGGUGACUAGAAUCUUGGAGAGGUCAGUGGAAUUCCGAGUGUAGAGGUGAAAUUCGUAGAUAUUCGGAAGAACACCAGUGGCGAAGGCGACUGACUGGACAAGUAUUGACGCUGAGGUGCGAAAGCGUGGUGAGCAAACAGGAUUAGAUACCCCGGUAGUCCCUGUCUCUUAUAC
rnacentral:rRNA from 1 species